rnacentral:rRNA from 1 species
GGGUUGUGAGGUUAAGCGACUAAGCGUACACGGUGGAUGCCCUGGCAGUCAGAGGCGAUGAAGGACGUGCUAAUCUGCGAUAAGCGUCGGUAAGGUGAUAUGAACCGUUAUAACCGGCGAUUUCCGAAUGGGGAAACCCAGUGUGAUUCGUCACACUAUCAUUAACUGAAUCCAUAGGUUAAUGAGGCGAACCGGGGGAACUGAAACAUCUAAGUACCCCGAGGAAAAGAAAUCAACCGAGAUUCCCCCAGUAGCGGCGAGCGAACGGGGAGCAGCCCAGAGCCUGAAUCAGUGUGUGUGUUAGUGGAAGCGUCUGGAAAGGCGCGCGAUACAGGGUGACAGCCCCGUACACAAAAAUGCACAUGCUGUGAGCUCGAUGAGUAGGGCGGGACACGUGGUAUCCUGUCUGAAUAUGGGGGACCAUCCUCCAAGGCUAAAUACUCCUGACUGACCGAUAGUGAACCAGUACCGUGAGGGAAAGGCGAAAAGAACCCCGGCGAGGGGAGUGAAAAAGAACCUGAAACCGUGUACGUACAAGCAGUGGGAGCACGCUUAGGCGUGUGACUGCGUACCUUUUGUAUAAUGGGUCAGCGACUUAUAUUCUGUAGCAAGGUUAACCGAAUAGGGGAGCCGAAGGGAAACCGAGUCUUAACUGGGCGUUAAGUUGCAGGGUAUAGACCCGAAACCCGGUGAUCUAGCCAUGGGCAGGUUGAAGGUUGGGUAACACUAACUGGAGGACCGAACCGACUAAUGUUGAAAAAUUAGCGGAUGACUUGUGGCUGGGGGUGAAAGGCCAAUCAAACCGGGAGAUAGCUGGUUCUCCCCGAAAGCUAUUUAGGUAGCGCCUCGUGAAUUCAUCUCCGGGGGUAGAGCACUGUUUCGGCAAGGGGGUCAUCCCGACUUACCAACCCGAUGCAAACUGCGAAUACCGGAGAAUGUUAUCACGGGAGACACACGGCGGGUGCUAACGUCCGUCGUGAAGAGGGAAACAACCCAGACCGCCAGCUAAGGUCCCAAAGUCAUGGUUAAGUGGGAAACGAUGUGGGAAGGCCCAGACAGCCAGGAUGUUGGCUUAGAAGCAGCCAUCAUUUAAAGAAAGCGUAAUAGCUCACUGGUCGAGUCGGCCUGCGCGGAAGAUGUAACGGGGCUAAACCAUGCACCGAAGCUGCGGCAGCGACGCUGAUGCGUUGUUGGGUAGGGGAGCGUUCUGUAAGCCUGCGAAGGUGUGCUGUGAGGCAUGCUGGAGGUAUCAGAAGUGCGAAUGCUGACAUAAGUAACGAUAAAGCGGGUGAAAAGCCCGCUCGCCGGAAGACCAAGGGUUCCUGUCCAACGUUAAUCGGGGCAGGGUGAGUCGACCCCUAAGGCGAGGCCGAAAGGCGUAGUCGAUGGGAAACAGGUUAAUAUUCCUGUACUUGGUGUUACUGCGAAGGGGGGACGGAGAAGGCUAUGUUGGCCGGGCGACGGUUGUCCCGGUUUAAGCGUGUAGGCUGGUUUUCCAGGCAAAUCCGGAAAAUCAAGGCUGAGGCGUGAUGACGAGGCACUACGGUGCUGAAGCAACAAAUGCCCUGCUUCCAGGAAAAGCCUCUAAGCAUCAGGUAACAUCAAAUCGUACCCCAAACCGACACAGGUGGUCAGGUAGAGAAUACCAAGGCGCUUGAGAGAACUCGGGUGAAGGAACUAGGCAAAAUGGUGCCGUAACUUCGGGAGAAGGCACGCUGAUAUGUAGGUGAAGCGACUUGCUCGUGGAGCUGAAAUCAGUCGAAGAUACCAGCUGGCUGCAACUGUUUAUUAAAAACACAGCACUGUGCAAACACGAAAGUGGACGUAUACGGUGUGACGCCUGCCCGGUGCCGGAAGGUUAAUUGAUGGGGUCAGCGCAAGCGAAGCUCUUGAUCGAAGCCCCGGUAAACGGCGGCCGUAACUAUAACGGUCCUAAGGUAGCGAAAUUCCUUGUCGGGUAAGUUCCGACCUGCACGAAUGGCGUAAUGAUGGCCAGGCUGUCUCCACCCGAGACUCAGUGAAAUUGAACUCGCUGUGAAGAUGCAGUGUACCCGCGGCAAGACGGAAAGACCCCGUGAACCUUUACUAUAGCUUGACACUGAACAUUGAGCCUUGAUGUGUAGGAUAGGUGGGAGGCUUUGAAGUGUGGACGCCAGUCUGCAUGGAGCCGACCUUGAAAUACCACCCUUUAAUGUUUGAUGUUCUAACGUGGACCCGUAAUCCGGGUUGCGGACAGUGUCUGGUGGGUAGUUUGACUGGGGCGGUCUCCUCCUAAAGAGUAACGGAGGAGCACGAAGGUUGGCUAAUCCUGGUCGGACAUCAGGAGGUUAGUGCAAUGGCAUAAGCCAGCUUGACUGCGAGCGUGACGGCGCGAGCAGGUGCGAAAGCAGGUCAUAGUGAUCCGGUGGUUCUGAAUGGAAGGGCCAUCGCUCAACGGAUAAAAGGUACUCCGGGGAUAACAGGCUGAUACCGCCCAAGAGUUCAUAUCGACGGCGGUGUUUGGCACCUCGAUGUCGGCUCAUCACAUCCUGGGGCUGAAGUAGGUCCCAAGGGUAUGGCUGUUCGCCAUUUAAAGUGGUACGCGAGCUGGGUUUAGAACGUCGUGAGACAGUUCGGUCCCUAUCUGCCGUGGGCGCUGGAGAAUUGAGGGGGGCUGCUCCUAGUACGAGAGGACCGGAGUGGACGCAUCACUGGUGUUCGGGUUGUCAUGCCAAUGGCACUGCCCGGUAGCUAAAUGCGGAAGAGAUAAGUGCUGAAAGCAUCUAAGCACGAAACUUGCCCCGAGAUGAGUUCUCCCUGACUCCUUGAGAGUCCUGAAGGAACGUUGAAGACGACGACGUUGAUAGGCCGGGUGUGUAAGCGCAGCGAUGCGUUGAGCUAACCGGUACUAAUGAACCGUGAGGCUUAACCUUACAACGCCGAAG